GUGAUCUCAAAAACUUACUUGAGGCUGAUGAUCUAGCAGUAGUUCUCAGUUCUAAGCAUCGCCCUCGUUGUAUAAUUGGAUUCAUCGCUCAGAGCCUUCAGUCGUUAAACUUGGAGGGGACAAUACUGAGUCAGCUGGAGUCAAAGAUUUCUUGUUUCCAUGAAGGUAUUGGUGUAUGUGAACAACUCUUGGGCAUACCUAUUCCCCUUUCGUACACUCGAUUGACGUCAAGGUUCUUAGUCCUUUGGCAUCUAACUCUUCCUAUAAUACUUUGGGA
rnacentral:misc_RNA from 1 species